rnacentral:rRNA from 1 species
GAUGAACGCUGGCGGCGUGCUUAACACAUGCAGGUCGAACGGGAUCCAAGGGGUGCUUGCACUUUUUGGUGAGAGUGGCGAACGGGUGAGUAACACGUGAGUAACCUGUCCUUUUCUUUGGGAUAAGCAUUCGAAAGGGUGUUUAAUACCUUAUGUUCUGUCUGCCUCGCAUGGGGUGGGUGGGAAAGGCUUUGGCCGGAUUUGGGUGGGCUCGCGGUCUAUCAGCUUGUUGGUGGGGUGAUGGCUUACCAAGGCUUUGACGGGUAGCCGGCCUGAGAGGGUGGUCGGUCACAUUGGGACUGAGAUACGGCCCAGACUCCUGCGGGAGGCAGCAGUGGGGGAUAUUGCACAAUGGGCGAAAGCCUGAUGCAGCGACGCCGCGUGGGGGAUGAAGGCCUUCGGGUUGUAAACUUCUUUUGCUCUGAACAAGGCAUGCCAGUGGGUGUGUUGAGUGUAGGGGUUGAUUAGCGCCGGCUAACUACGUG